UGGCGGCAUGGAUAGGCAUGCAAGUCGAACGUGCUCCCGUUCGGGGAGAAAGUGGCGAAAGGGUGAGUAACACGUGAGCAACCUGCCUCCGGAUCCGGAAUAAUCCAGGGAAACUUGGUCUAAAACCGGAUGAAGACAUUGGUCCGCAUGGUCUAAUGUUAAAAUAUUUAUAGUCCGGAGAGGGGCUCGCGGCCCAUUAGCUUGUUGGCGGGGUAAUGGCCCACCAAGGCUACGACGGGUAGGUGGUCUGAGAGGAUGGUCACCCACACUGGGACUGAGACACUGCCCAGACUCCUACGGGAGGCUGCAGUCGAGAAUCUUCCGCAAUGGGCGCAAGCCCUGACGGAGCGAUGCCGCGUGAGGGAUGAAGGCCUUCGGGUUGUAAACCUCUGUCAUCCGGGAACGAAAACAAUGACGGUACCGGAAAAGGAAGCCACGGCUAACCACGUGCCAGCAGCAGC
rnacentral:rRNA from 1 species